ACUCUGUUUUCAGAGUUUCAAAACUUUUUUUCACACAUUCGCACACCAGUUUUCAGAUCACCAUUUACAAGGUUUCAAACCUGGAAAACAAACUAAUACAGUGGGAGAACACUGACAAAUUUGAAACUCUGAAAAAAUUCUUUGCGCAACAUCGUAAAAAAAAUGUUGCAGUUCUGAAGAAGGAAAUCUCAAAAACAACAUAAUGUUUGCAGAGAUAUUUUUAUUUUUUUUACAUUUUGCAAGCUUGCAAAUCUUAUUUUUCGAUCUUGCAAAACUUUUUUUGUAAGAUUUUGAGUUUUCGAACACUUAGUUUCAACCUUUCAGAACUUUAUUUUCAGUUUUGAAUCAUGGCAGGAUAAUAAUCCCAUACUGAUCCAGUUUCUAUAUUCAGAAUUAUUUGGGCUACUUACGAUUUUUGGAAAAUGCCUAAAGAGAACAUAUGGGAACAAUACUUCUGGAACCUGAACUGCUGAGAAAGGGGACCGUCUUUAUCGCCUUCACAACCACUAGAGAUAUUCGCAUUCGUUGACUUCUGACACUCGCUCCUCUUGGAUGUUGUGGGUAGUGAAUGGAAUAUACUUUGGCCCAAGCUCCCAGAAAGGACGUGCUGGAAUCGAUGGUGUGCUGAAUGACCUGUGGCUCCACCAGGCACAGAUGGUCAGAGCCGCCUCUCAUGGCCCAUGUCGAUUUCUAGACUGCUCCCAGUGGUAGAAAUUCCCCCUCCUACGUCUGCUGAGACUUGAUGAGUUUAGCACGUACUUUGGCAUCCACCAUGUGGCUCUCACACAGAUCGCCAAGAUGAACCAUAAGGCAAAGACAGUCAUCACGGUUGGCCACAACACAAGUCUGGCUGAAAAGAAGCAAGGCAAGGCAAGGCAAGUUUAUUUAUAUAUUUGACUUAUUUAAAAUGAAUUUAAAACAGUUAAAAAUAGAAAAUGAUUUUACAUAAAAUACAGUGAAUACGUAAAAUACAGUGCAAUCAGUUCGGACAUCGCACAGUGCUCAUUCAAUAAAUGCAAAGUUAAACAGAUGAGUUUUGAGUCUAGAUUUAAAUGUGACUAAUGUUUUAGCACAUCUGAUCUCAUCUGGAAGCUGGUUCCAACUGCGGGCGGCAUAGUAACUAAAGGCGGACUCCCCUUGUUUUGUGUGAACCCUUGGUAUUUCUAACUGACUUUAUCCUAAUGAUCUGAGUGGUCUGUUAGGUUUAUAUUCAGUGAAUAUAUCUGCAAUAUAUUUUGGUCCUAGAUCAUUGAGUGAUUUAUAAACAAGUAAAAGUACUUUAAAAUCAAUCCUAAAUGUAACUGGAAGCCAGUGUAAGGACCUGAGGACUGGUGUGAUAUGCUCAGAUUUUCUGGUUCUAGUCAGAAUCCUGGCAGCAGCGUUCUGGAUGAUUACAAUAGUCCACCCUGCUGGUGAUAAAGGCAUGAACAAGUUUCUCCAAGUCUUGACUGGAAACAAAAUAUCUAAUUCUUGCAAUGUUUUUUUAGAUGAUAGUAUGCUGAUUUAGUUGCUUUAGUUUUUGACAUGACUACUGAAACUAAGGUCUGUCUCCAGAAUCACACCAAGAUUCCUGACUUGAUUUUUAGUUUUUUGAACCCUAGAGUGCAUUCUGCAUUGUCUUUUCAUAGUCUGAACUGCUGUUGAUCUUCUCCAAACUGAUUUCUGUCUGUUUGUUUUCUUGAUUACAAUAGUCCACCCUGCUGGUGAUAAAGGCAUGAACAAGUUUCUCCAAGUCUUGACUGGAAACAAAAUAUCUAAUUCUUGCAAUGUUUUUUUAGAUGAUAGUAUGCUGAUUUAGUUGCUUUAGUUUUUGACAUGACUACUGAAACUAAGGUCUGUCUCCAGAAUCACACCAAGAUUCCUGACUUGAUUUUUAGUUUUUUGAACCCUAGAGUGCAUUCUGCAUUGUCUUUUCAUAGUCUGAACUGCUGUUGAUCUUCUCCAAACUGAUUUCUGUCUGUUUGUUUUCUUACUGACUAUUAUUGGAGCAAUAUCAUCAAUAACAUUCUUAACUUUUGAGUUAAAGGAAUCACGGAGAAUAUCAACAGUGUCUGCAGAAAUGCUGGGUGUUAUAGCCUCCAUAAACAGCACACUAGUGUUCUCGUUUAUGCAUCUCCUUCUGACAGAGACAGAUCUAGAUUCAGUGGUAGCAGAGAUCAAUAUAUCAAAGAAAAUACAGAAGUGAUCAGAUAGUGCUACGUCCUUAAUAACAAUGGAUGAAAUUUUUUGACCCCUACUGAUGAUUAAAUCUAGAGUGUGUCCACCUUUGUGUGUGGGUCCAUGCACAUGCUGAAUCAGGUCAAAAGUGUUUAGAACCAUUAUCAUUUCUUUUGUAGUUUUGUUUUCUGCAUUAUCUAUGUGAAUAUUAAAAUUCCCUGCAAUAGCAAAACAGUCAAACUCUGAUGAAAUCAUUGAUAACAUUUCUGUGACUUCUUCAACAAAGGCUGGAGAGUAUUUUGGAGGCCUGUAAAUAAUGAUAAACAGAAUGCGUGGAGCACCUUUCAGCACAAUCCCUAGAUAUUCAAAAGACAAGUAUUAACCAAAUGACACUUGCUUGCAUUGAUAGACAUCUUUAAAUAGAGCAGCUACACCUCCACCUCUCC
rnacentral:lncRNA from 1 species